rnacentral:rRNA from 1 species
GACGAACGCUGGCGGCGUGCCUAAUACAUGCAAGUCGAACGCAGUGGGGACGGGUGAGUAACACGUGGGUAACCUCCCAUCAGAGGGGAUAACACUUGGAAACAGGUGCUAAACCGAUACUGAUGGAUGAACCCGCGGUGCAUUAGCUAGUGGGUGAGGGAAUGGAUCACCAAGGCCACGAUGCAUAGCCUACCUGAGGGGGCGGUAGGCCACACUGGGACUGAGACACGGCCAGACUCGUCCGGGAGGCAGCAGUAGGGAGCCUUCGGCAAUGGACGAAAGUCUGACCGAGCAACGCCCCGUGAGGGAAGAAGGUUUUCGGAUCGUAAAACUCUGUUGUUAGAGAAGCGGUAUCUAACCAGAAAGCCACGGCUAACUACGUGCCAGCAGCCGCGGUAAUAC